UGGGGGAUAUUGCACAAUGGGCGAAAGCCUGAUGCAGCGACGCCGCGUGGGGGAUGAAGGCUUUCGGGUUGUAAACCUCUUUCGCUAUCGAACAAGGCCCGCUUAGGGUGGGUUGAGGGUAGGUGGAGAAGAAGCGCCGGCUAACUACGUGCCAGCAGCCGCGGUAAUACGUAGGGCGCGAGCGUUGUCCGGAAUUAUUGGGCGUAAAGGGCUUGUAGGCGGCUUGUUGCGCCUGCUGUGAAAACGCGGGGCUUAACUUCGCGCGUGCAGUGGGUACGGGCAGGCUUGAGUGUGGUAGGGGUGACUGGAAUUCCAGGUGUAGCGGUGGAAUGCGCAGAUAUCUGGAGGAACACCGAUGGCGAAGGCAGGUCACUGGGCCACUACUGACGCUGAGGAGCGAAAGCAUGGGUAGCGAACAGG
rnacentral:rRNA from 1 species